CUUGGUCAUUUAGAGGAAGUAAAAGUCGUAACAAGGUUUCCGUAGGUGAACCUGCGGAAGGAUCAUUCACAAACGAGUGUUUUAUGGCACUCUUUAAAAAUCCAUAUCCACCUUGUGUGCAAUUUUGUUGGGAAAGUCUUUUCUUUCCCUUCAUAAAUAUCAACCUAUAUCUUUAACAACAUUCGUCUGAUAACAUAUUAUGAAUAUACUUAAUUCAAAAUAUAACUUUCAACAACGGAUCUCUUGGCUCUCGCAUCGAUGAAGAACGCAGCGAAAUGCGAUACGUAAUGUGAAUUGUAGAAUUCAGUGAAUCAUCGAAUCUUUGAACGCAUAUUGCGCUCUUUGGUAUUCCGAAGAGCAUGCUUGUUUGAGUAUCAGUAAACACCUCAACCUCUCUUUUUUGAUAAAAAAAAGGGAGGGUGGACUUGAGCUAUCCCAACGACCUUCACCGGUAGGCGGGCGGCUUGAAAUGCAGGUGCAGCUGGACUUUUAUCUGAGCUAAAAGCAUAUCUAUUUAGUCCUCGUCAAACAGGAUUAUUACUUUUGCUGCAGCUAACAUAAAGGAUAAUUGUCCUCUUUGCUGACUGAUGCAGGAUUUUACGACACUUUAUGUGUUGUUCAACUCGAUCUCAAAUCAAGUAAGACUACCCGCUGAACUUAAGCAUAUCAAUAAGCGGAGGAAAAGAAACUAACAAGGAUUCCCCUAGUAACGGCGAGUGAAGCGGGAUGAGCUCAAAUUUGAAAUCUGGCUGGUUUACUAGUCCGAGUUGUAAUUUAAAGAAGCGUUUUCGGUGGCAGCCUGGGUAUAAAUCCUUUGGAAUAGGGUAUCAUAGAGGGUGAGAAUCCCGUCUUUGACCUAGUGCAUGCUACUAUGUGAUACGUUUUCAAAGAGUC
rnacentral:sRNA from 1 species